GGCGUUCUCUCAGUCCACUGAGUGGCCUAGUCUUGUGUAGUCGACUGUGUGAGAUCAGGGCAAGACUCCUCACUGGUGCAUAUAUGCCUGCGUUUAAUGCUCCAACCUGCUUCCACAUGGCUGGUUCUGUGGAUAUAUUUGCUGAUGUUUGGGAAGAUUGUGAUUUAAAGCGUGCAACGAUGGUCUUGAUUACAUCAGGCUUUUAUGGAUGCCUGUCAUGCACCCUGUUUGAGCUUAAAUGUUCCCCCUUCAUUUACUCAUCCUCAUGUAAUUUCAAACCUGUAUGACCACCUUUCUCCUGUUGAAAUAAAACUACACUAAAUGGGGUUCAAUCACUGACUUGCAUUGCAUGGAAUUUUUUUUUUUUUUUUUUAAGUAUCUUCUUUGGAUGUCCACAGAAUGUCAGUCGUUGGUUUGGAACAACGUGGAGUUGACUAAAUGAUGACAGAAUUUAAGUUUUUGGAUGAACU